UGUAGCAAGUCCCACAUACCAGGAAACCUCUGGAUCCCAGGCAAACUGGAAAGGCGGAUCGCCCUAUCCCAGAGUCUAAAAAGGACUUAACUCAGCUGAGAACUGAAAGUCCAGGCUUGGAAAAAAUCACGAAAGAAAGAAGUCAAGAAGAGUCCGUUACAACAGCGAUGUCGCUAAAAAGCACUGUCACUUAGCUAUGCUUCCAACAAUUAGAUUAUUAGGCCUCGAGUUAAGAGGGUGGCAAGGGGACGCAAAGGGUUGAUAAACCACAAGCAAACUUCCGGAAGAGAAGCCGACAGAACAUGGUUCAUAGCAGCAUCGCAUCUUCUUUUCGUUUGAAGUGGGCCAUAGGACGUGUUUCCGCUAAGGACUAGCAAAAAGGAGGUGACAUGAAACCAGCAAGCCAUGACUUUCUUCCACCUAUAUUCAGGACAAUGAAGAGAGAACAGACUGGGACAGUGGUCCUGAAUCGUAGAGAAGCCCUGGGAUCUUAACCCUGCAUCUCCUGGCCCUGGACUUCAGUCUCCUCAUUACCAGAAUAGAGCUGAUAAUACCAGCAUCUCCUCCUACUUCACAAUGGUAUAAAAUGUGCAAAUGUGACCUAUAUGUAAAAA